AAAUUGAAGAGUUUGAUCAUGGCUCAGAUUGAACGCUGGCGGCAGGCCUAACACAUGCAAGUCGAACGGUAGCACAGAGGAGCUUGCUCCUUGGGUGACGAGUGGCGGACGGGUGAGUAAUGUCUGGGAAACUGCCCGAUGGAGGGGGAUAACU
rnacentral:rRNA from 1 species